GCCCCGGUAGCUCAGCUGGAUAGAGCGGCUGCCUUCUAAGCAGCGGGUCGCAGGUUCGAGUCCUGCCCGGGGCGCCA
rnacentral:tRNA from 2 species